AGACAAGAUACGUUCUAAAGAUCGAAGUAUACGGAUAUUAUUUCCAUGAUUGUGGUAGCAUUGUGUUAAAGAUGCGGUACAGUCCGUAUGUAAACCAAUGCUGUGCUGAGUGGUUAUAUUACUACCUUAAAAAACAAGCAGAAACGUAUUAACUCGACGUUUCGAGCGAAGCUCCUUCGUCAAGAGUUAGUAGCUUUGUUUACAUUUCGGUAUCCUAAAUAUUGAAUUAUAUUCGACAACUAUUUAUAUUUUCAUGAUUCUAGAGUAUAAUAAAUUAUGAAGACACAACAAUCAUGCUUUGCAAAAAAUAAAAUAAAAACUUAAAUAAACUGUUUGUAAAUAAAAAGAGGGCUCCUUUGUGCACAUGCGCAGAUCGGACUGUACCGCAUCUUUAGUAAGCUGAAAAUCAAUUUUGGGGUUACGGGUACUUUAACUGUCGUGACCCAGUGAUCCUUCGGUAAUAUGUAAUGGCUGGAUCUAUCUCAUUUUUAUGUGCUACAUGGAAAACAAUACUUUAUUAUGUAUAUACUGAGUUUUCCCACUGGAUUUACCUAUGCAAAAACUCGUUUCGCAAUGCACAUUAACCAAUCAGAAAAGCGAUGCAAUUUUCUCACAUGCAUGUGAAAAAAGUUUCGUCCAAUAAAGUGAUACAAGUCGUUAGAGAGGUAAAAGCUUCAAGAAUUUGCGUUGGUAAUUACUGUAAACACUACUGUAAAUACUCUGAUAAGGACUGUUUAGUAUAGGUAAUCAUGCGAUGGCGAGUACAAUUACGGAUUUUAAUUUUUUUUAUUAAAAUAGCCUACGAGUGAUGCUUGGAAAUUUA